AGGUAGCAUCUGAYGCCUCGAAUUAUGGAACCGGCAGCACCAAAACGAGCUCACGAGCGGGAAUUCAUUCCAGAGGGCAAGAUUUGAUAAAUAAAUGGAGCUGCUUUGGGAGCUUAACGAAGGCCCUCGCGUGGAUGAGUCUCUGAAGCAGGAUGCCCACAACCGAGCAUUCGUUUCCCAAGGGAAAAAGAAAAGGAGAAAGCAACCAUCAGUGAAAAACACCUUACUCUACCCCUAGUUCUCAUGGGAGAGGAGACUUCGAAGCAGCUUUCUGGGAUCUUUUAUCCAGGCACGUUUUCAGGCUUAAACUGGGCAUGUCUGGCACAUUUUGGACAUGAGUUGGGAUCCACGUGCGAGACGACACGUGCAACAGCCUGAGCUCCACCGGGCUUUAGCAACGACGGUGUCCGAGCCCUCCCGAAAAAGCAGCUGACCUGCUGCUGGUGUUUCCCUGAUGGCCGAGGCUGCCCUCCAGGUUUCCGCCCUUCGGGACUUUGCGCAGGGACACGCGGGACGGAUGCCGCCAAGGGAGGAGAAGCUGGAGGAGGUACUUCGGGGUGAACGUUUUGGUCUCUCAGCAGAUAUUGCGGAAGCCAGUCGCAGCCCUGCGGCGCCCACGGACUCGGCGUCUCCCUCUGCCUCUA
rnacentral:lncRNA from 1 species